rnacentral:rRNA from 1 species
UACGUAGGGGACGAGCGUUAAUCGGAAUUACUGGGCGUAACGCGUGCUCAGGCGGUUUUUCAAGACAGAUGUGAAAUCCCCGGGCUCAACCUGGGAACUGCAUUUGUGACUGCAAGGCUAGAAUCUGGCAGAGGGGGGUAGAAUUCCACGUGUAGCAGUGAAAUGCGUAGAUAUGUGGAGGAAUACCGAUGGCGAAGGCAGCCCCCUGGGCUAAGAUUGACGCUCAUGCACGAAAGCGUGGGGAGCAAACAGG